rnacentral:snoRNA from 1 species
UUUCCCAUUUGACUACCACAUUAUCUUCUGAUAGAUUUUAGUGGCUAUGCUUAUGGGAUAGAUGAGAACUGCCAUGAUCUGAAGAGGGAGGACUUGCUCGUGUCCUCCUCCUAUAUGGAAUGGCUGAACAGAGCAUU